rnacentral:lncRNA from 1 species
UGAGCACCAAAAUGAUUCAUGAUACCUUUGAAGAAAGGAUGCGGGGGCAGAGAGAAACCUCUGUGAACAUGGCUGAGGAGCAAGACGCGCUCCCCCUCCCGUGGCGCCGGAUCGACCUCGUCGUCCGCCGGCAGCCUCCAGGACUUAUGCACGAGCUGGCCGUGCUCUACCAGCUCCAGCAGGUCCCCCUCCGUCACUGUGGAGG